UACGGAGGGGGCUAGCGUUAUUCGGAAUUACUGGGCGUAAAGGGCGUGUAGGCGGCUUGAUAGGUCAAAGGUGAAAUCCUACGGCUCAACCGUAGAACUGCCUUUGAUACUGUAGCUCUUGAGUCUCGGAGAGGUCAUUAGAAUUCGUGGUGUAGCGGUGAAAUGCGUAGAUAUCGCGAGGAAUACCAGAGGCGUAGGCGGAUGACUGGACGAGUACUGACGCUGAGGCACGAAAGCGUGGGGAGCAAACAGG
rnacentral:misc_RNA from 1 species